GUGACGCACUCCCUGGCGACACUGGCGCCAAUUUUAUUACGUCACUAGGACGCCGAAUGUUGGUCCUCUCAGAAGUCUCCACCGCAACCGCCCUAGCAACAGCUUAGCAACGGCGAGAUUCUGGCGGCCCUGGGUUCUACAGGCCCUUCAGAGUCGAGGAGUGCAAAGGACCUGGAGACAAUGGAGAUAGGAGAUUUCAGCCGAGCUGCCAACUGACGAGCAAAGGAAAGAUAGCUUAGAAAGAAGCUUGGAGAAAAGCAUCCCCGGUUGGAGGAAAAUAUUGCUAGGCUGAACUGAAAAACAAGCUCAAGGGAACUUGGUUUAUAAUGGGAAUGACAUUAUUUACUAAUCACUGGAAAAAGGAUCAACCAAAAUAUAUGACGUUGAGACAAUUCUACUAAAAGAGGGGAAGAAAACCUUAAAAAAAGUUUUUGCAAGACAGGGAUUCUCUGUGUGGGAUCAUUGUAGACCAGACUGGCCUUAAACUCAAAGAUUCACCUGCGUCUGCCUCUCAAGUGCUAGAACUGGAGGUGUGCAGAGGCAGGCUGGAUCUCUCUGAGUUUGAAGCUAGCCUGGUAUACAGAACGAGUUCCAGGACAGCCAAGGCAAAGCCACUGUAAUCCAGCACUUGAGAGACUGAACCAGGAGGAGAUCAUGAGUUCCAGGUCUUGGUGGGAGGGGACAAGAAAGAAAUGCAAAGAAGAAAAGGGAGAAGGGCAAAGCGGUGUGGCUGGAGCCUAGUGGUGAAAACAGUGAUAUAGAUAGAUAGAUAGAUAGAUAGAUAGAUAGAUAGAUAGAUAGAUAGAAUGAUACAAGCAAGGAGAAUUAUAAUGCGGAAGGAACUAGGGGACGUACAGGAGAAAAGUCCUUGAGAAGGACAGAGAAGAGAGCAUCCAGAACACUGAGGGAUACUCUCAUUUCAACUGGAGGAAGUUUAUAAAUGAUGGGUCUAGAUGAAGAUAAAUGUAUAAUUUGAUCAUGGGAAAUUUGAGAGCCAUAACCUAAAUGUUGCUUUCCACUCCAUGAAAUGUGAGUCAUUAUGCUGAUUGGUUAGUUGUUUGUGACCUUAAAACAAGAACAGAGUCACCUGGGAGGAGGGAACCUCAAUUGAGAAGUGCCUCAGUCACACUGACCCGUGUAGGCAUGUCUGUGACAUUUUUGUUUGUUGACCGAAGUGGGAUGGCCCAGCCCAUUGUGGGUGGUAUUACCCCUGACCAUGCGGCACUGGGAUGUAUAAGCAACACAUAACUGAAUAUGAGCAAUGAAACAAAUCAGUGAGAAGCUUUUCUCCACCGUUCCUGCCUCUGCUCCUGCUUGAGUUACUGCCGUGAUAUCCCUCAAUGAUCAACUGGGACAUGUGUGUGACGUCAUCCUGAUUUAUGCCUUACACAGCUGAACAGAGAGUUCUCAACUGAGGAAUAUUGAAUGGCCCAGAAGUACCUAAAGAAAUGUUCACAUCCUUAGUCAUCAGGGAAAUGCAAAUCAAAACAACCCUGAGAUUCCACCUCACACCAAGCAGAAUGGCUAAGAUCAAAAACUCAUGUGACUGGAGAGAUGGCUCAGCGGUUAGGAGCACUGACUGCUCUUCCAGAGGUCCUGAGUUCAAACCCCAGCAACCACAUGGUGGCUCACAACCAUCUGUAAUGAGAUCUGAUGCCCUCUUCUGGUGUGGCUGAAGACAGCUGCAGUGCACUCACAUAAAUAAAAACUCAUGUGACAGUA